rnacentral:rRNA from 1 species
GAAACCAACAGGGAUUGCCUUAGUAACGGCGAGUGAAGCGGCAAAAGCUCAAAUUUGAAAUCUGGCACCUUCGGUGUCCGAGUUGUAAUUUGAAGAAGGUAACUUUGGAGUUGGCUCUUGUCUAUGUUCCUUGGAACAGGACGUCACAGAGGGUGAGAAUCCCGUGCGAUGAGAUGCCCAAUUCUAUGUAAAGUGCUUUCGAAGAGUCGAGUUGUUUGGGAAUGCAGCUCUAAGUGGGUGGUAAAUUCCAUCUAAAGCUAAAUAUUGGCGAGAGACCGAUAGCGAACAAGUACAGUGAUGGAAAGAUGAAAAGAACUUUGAAAAGAGAGUGAAAAAGUACGUGAAAUUGUUGAAAGGGAAGGGCUUGAGAUCAGACUUGGUAUUUUGCGAUCCUUUCCUUCUUGGUUGGGUUCCUCGCAGCUUACUGGGCCAGCAUCGGUUUGGAUGGUAGGAUAAUGACUAAGGAAUGUGGCUCUACUUCGGUGGAGUGUUAUAGCCUUGGUUGAUACUGCCUGUCUAGACCGAGGACUGCGUC